rnacentral:rRNA from 1 species
ACGCACGCUGGCGGCGUGCUUAACACAUGCCAGUCGAACGGAAAGGCCUGCUUUCCCUUGUGGAUUGCGGGUACUCGAGUGGCGAACGGGUGAGUAACACGUGAGUGAUCUGCCCCCAACUUGGGUAUAAGCCUGGGAAACUGGGGCUAAUUCCCGAUAGGACUGCAGGGUGGUGCCUGUGGUGGAAAACGAUUUUCUAGUGGUUGGGGAUGAGCUCGCGGCCUAUCAGCUUGUUGGUGGGGUAAUGGCCUACCAAGGCGGCGACGGGUAGCCGGCCUGAGAGGGUGGACGGCCACAUUGGGACUGAGAUACGGCCCAGACUCCUACGGGAGGCAGCAGUGGGGAAUAUUGCACAAGGGGCGGAAGCCUGAUGCAGCGACGCCGCGGGGGGGAUGACGGCCUUCGGGUUGUAAACUCCUUUCGACCGCGAGGAAGCCACCUGGUUGGAAGGGUGGUGACGGUAGUGGUAGAAGAAGCACCGGCUAACUACGUG